UCGCCCAAGGCGACAAGGUUGCCAAGAGAGGCGGCCUUCUCAAGGAAACUUGAGAUAGCCUGGGUGUUUUA
rnacentral:ncRNA from 1 species